rnacentral:rRNA from 1 species
AUACGUAGGGUGCAAGCGUUAGUCGGAAUUACUGGGCGUAAAGCGUGCGCAGGCGGUUUUGUAAGACAGAGGUGAAAUCCCCGGGCCCAACCUGGGAACUGCCUUUGUGACUGCAAGGCUAGAGUACGGCAGAGGGGGAUGGAAUUCCGCGUGGAGCAGUGAAAUGCGUAGAUAUGCGGAGGAACACCGAUGGCGAAGGCAAUCCCCUGUGCCUGUACAGACGCGCAUGCACGAAAGCGUGGGGAGCAAACAGGAUUAGAUACCCUGGUAGUCCACGCCCUAAACGAUGUCAACUGGUUGUGGGGUCUUCAUUGACUCAGUAACGAAGCUAACGCGUGAAGUUGACCGCCUGGGGAGUACGGCCGCAAGGUUGAAACUCAAAUGAAUUGACGGGG